GGAUUAGGGUAGUGGCAAUAUCGUAACCAAUAAAGGUCUACAGAGGUGCGAUUAUUGCUGGUUGGAAACAUUUACCGAAUAGGUUUUGUAUGUUCACGCCUAAAGUUUUUAUUUUGGUUUUAUGAGC
rnacentral:snRNA from 1 species